ensembl:lncRNA
AAACAUUUAUUUGGCUGAUUUACUGUUGAUGACAACAGUGACUAGGAUUGUCUCUCCAUAAAUCGACUCACUGCCACUGGGGGUUUCUUCAUGCUGUGCAAUGACCCACACGAUCCCAAUUCACACAUCCACUUCUGCAAUUCUCCAAGGACGUAUUUGCAGCAUGACGUAAAUGCUCCGUGUCGUUGGACUGCAAGAAAUGAGGUGAACAAGUUGGCCCCGUUCGCAUGGCAGUGAGAGCACAAGCAGCACCACAAUAACCUGUUGGAGAUAAUUGAAUUGCGCAGAAGGCAGAGGACCACGUCAGCUUAUAGACCGCCGUUGUUCAUUUGCUGAUAGAACAAAAGGCCUGAUGGAAAUACGAAGCCGU